rnacentral:rRNA from 1 species
UAGGGAAUCUUCCACAAUGGACGCAAGUCUGAUGGAGCAACGCCGCGUGAGUGAAGAAGGUUUUCGGACCGUAAAGCUCUGUUGUUGGUGAAGAAGGAUAGAGGUAGUAACUGGCCUUUAUUUGACGGUAAUCAACCAGAAAGUCACGGCUAACUACGUGCCAGCAGCCGCGGUAAUACGUAGGUGGCAAGCGUUGUCCGGAUUUAUUGGGCGUAAAGCGAGCGCAGGCGGAAGAAUAAGUCUGAUGUGAAAGCCCUCGGCUUAACCGAGGAAUUGCAUCGGAAACUGUUUUUCUUGAGUGCAGAAAGAGGAGAGUAGAACUCCAUGUGUAGCGGUGGAAUGCGUAGAUAUAUGGAAGAAUACCAGUGGCGAAGGCGGCUCUCUGGUCUGCAACUGACGCUGAGGCUCGAAAGCAUGGGUAGCGAACAGGAUUAGAUACCCUGGUAGUCCAUGCCGUAAAACGAUGAGUGCUAAGUGUUGGGAGGCUUCCGCCUCUCAGUGCUGCAGCUAAACGCAUUAAGCACUCCGCCUGGGGGAGUACGACCGCAAAGGUUGAAAC